ACUCCUUCUAAAGCUAAAUAUCACCACGAGACCGAUAGCGAACAAGUACCGUGAGGGAAAGUUGAAAAGCACUCUGAAUAGAGAGUCAAAAAGUACGUGAAACUGCCUAGGGCUCAAGCCCGUUGAACUCGAUUAUCCGAGCGGAGACAUUCACCUGCGGGCCAUCGUACCCGCAGGGCACUUGUCUCUCCCGCGCACGAGGACACUGCGAUCCAUUACGAAACAGCUUUCGCGUCGCAAGACGCGCAGGUCGCCCGACAGUUGCCCCCUGGUGCUCGGUUGCUUGCCCCACAGUAGCGACGCUCAGUUCUGAAGGCCUGUGCCGCGAGGUGGGGCUUACUGCACGUGGUGUGCAGUCGGGCGCGUGAUGGAUUCCCACAGUACGACGCGGUGCGCUCCCUUCGCGCCACCGCGGACCGUCGAUCGGCAGUGAAAGAAUCGAGGUACCUCCGGGACCCGUCUUGAAACACGGACCAAGAAGUCUAUCUUGCGCGCGAGCCAAUGGUCGUGUCUCCUUGAGCACCAAAGGCGCAGAAAACAUAACUUGCCUGUUGUGCGGGAUUACGGGCGCGGCUCUCUGCUCGUCCCUCCAUCCCCGGGUGUUGUAGCCGGCAUGCGGGGCCGGGGUUGCGUUCACGCGCGCCCCGGCACCGUGCCACAACAUACCGCGAGUGUGCAGGAUGUGACCCGAAAGAUGGUGAACUAUGCCUGAUCAGGUUGAAGUCAGGGGAAACCCUGAUGGAGGACCGAAGCAGUUCUGACGU
rnacentral:rRNA from 1 species